GGCGGUGUGGCUCAGCAGUAAGAGUGUUUGCCAAGCAAGCGAAAGACCCUGAGUUCAAACCCCAGUACUGCCA
rnacentral:tRNA from 1 species